ACGUGGAGGUAUUCUGGCAGCUGUGAAUCGAGUGCGAGGUCUUCCUUAGCCUUUUGUGCAAGCUAUGGUUGAUUCUGCUACAACAUACAUAUUGGUCUUAGGACCAACACUGUUGCCAAGUCGGGUGGGACGGGUAAGAAACCAAAGCAGUAGUUGGUCUGCUAUGUCUGCACAUGAUGUUUGUAUAUUAGGGUGGUGACGAUGGUGCUGUCUUGACACACUGGCAAAAGAUGAAUCGGUUGCAGAUUAAAUGAAAUUGUUUUAUUAUGUAGCUUCUAUUUCUUGGUUCAAUGCAAUCUGGUAUUUUUGCCGUAGAGUUUUAUGUUGACAUUACUGUCACUUCACUUGCAAUAUGGUAUUGUUGCCACUUCAAAAUUUGCAUUAUUAUUUGAUCAAAUUCAAUCUCGUGUUGUUCUGGA